rnacentral:lncRNA from 1 species
UGAGAAAUGCAGGUAACAUCUCCAGGCACAACUGCUGGGAAAGCAGGCUUCCAUCCCCGCUCAAGGUGGCUUGCUCUGGCCAGUGGCGUAUGGACAAAAGCAGUGGUGUGCCAGUUCUGAGCCUGCACCUCCAGAGGCAGCACGUCCUUCUGCCUGCUUCUCUUGUGCUUCUGCCAUCCCAUUCUUUGGUUCCAGAAGAACGAAAGACACAUGGAACAGAGCCACCCUGGCCGAUCAGCAAAACUAAGCUCCCUGCACAAAGGAGACCAUAUUUGCAAGUCAUCUAGGACUCAGCUCUUCUAGAGCAAAGAAACCCAUAGACUGGGAAACCCUUCUUCUACUUUAGGGAACCCCUCUUUCCUAUCCCCAACCUUAGUGACUCACAAAAGUUGUGCCAGCUGUGGAGGAGUGGGAGUGAGGGUGGGAAGUGUAGGUCAUAUUGUAAAGGCCCUCCUUAGCCAAAAUGCCUUGCCGGAGGGGCCACAGAGGAUGAGGGCGAGGGAGACGAAUCCCUUCCCUAGCAGAAGCUGGCGGACAGGCAGUGCUCAUUCUGCCCCGUGUUCUGUCCUCAUGGUUCCCAC